AACGCGAAGAACCUUACCUGGGCUCGAACGGCUAGUGACAGGCGGCGAAAGUCGUUUUUCCCGCAAGGGACACUAGUCGAGGUGCUGCAUGGCUGUCGUCAGCUCGUGUCGUGAGAUGUUGGGUUAAGUCCCGCAACGAGCGCAACCCUCGCCUUUAGUUGCCAUCAUUAAGUUGGGCACUCUAGAGGGACCGCCGGCGACAAGCCGGAGGAAGGUGGGGAUGACGUCAAGUCCUCAUGGCCCUUACACCCUGGGCUACACACGUGCUACAAUGGUGGUGACAGUGGGCAGCUACUCCGCGAGGAGCGGCUAAUCUCAAAAAACCACCCCAGUUCAGAUUGUACUCUGCAACUCGAGUACAUGAAGGUGGAAUCGCUAGUAAUCGCAGAACAGCAGGCUGCGGUGAAUACGUUCCCGGGCCUUGUACACACCGAGACGAC
rnacentral:rRNA from 1 species